rnacentral:rRNA from 1 species
CCUACGGGAGGCAGCAGUGGGGAAUAUUGCACAAUGGGGGAAACCCUGAUGCAGCGACGCCGCGUGAGUGAAGAAGUAUCUCGCUACGUAAAGCUCUAUCAGCAGGAAAGAAAAUGACGGUACCUGACUAAGAAGCCCCGGCUAACUACGUGCCAGCAGACGCGGUAAUACGGAGGGGGCAAGCGUUAGCCGGCUUUACUGGGUGGAAAGGGAGCGUAGACGGCGCUGCAAGUCCGGAGUGAAAGCCCAUGGCUUAACCAUGGUACUGCUCUGUAAACUGUAGAGCUUGAGUGCGGGCGGGGCAGGCGGAAUGCCUAGUGUAGCGGUGAAAUGCGUAGAUAUUAGGAGGAACCCAGGCGGCGAAGGCGGCCUGCUGGACCGUAACUGACGUUGAGGCUCGAAAGCGUGGGGAGCAAACAGGAUUAGAUACCCUAGUAGUC